AGAGUUUGAUCCUGGCUCAGGAUGAACGCUAGCUACAGGCUUAACACAUGCAAGUCGAGGGGCAGCAUGAACUUAGCUUGCUAAGUUUGAUGGCGACCGGCGCACGGGUGAGUAACGCGUAUCCAACCUGCCCAUGUCUGGGGAAUAACCCGUCGAAAGGCGGACUAACUCCCCAUGGUCUCCGAUGAGGACAUCUGAAUUGGAGUAAAGCUUCGCGGACAUGGAUGGGGAUGCGUCUGAUUAGCUUGUUGGCGGGGUAACGGCCCACCAAGGCGACGAUCAGUAGGGGUUCUGAGAGGAAGGUCCCCCACAUUGGAACUGAGACACGGUCCAAACUCCUACGGGAGGCAGCAGUGAGGAAUAUUGGUCAAUGGACGAGAGUCUGAACCAGCCAAGUAGCGUGAAGGAUGACUGCCCUAUGGGUUGUAAACUUCUUUUAUAAAGGAAUAAAGUCGGGUAUGGAUACCCGUUUGCAUGUACUUUAUGAAUAAGGAUCGGCUAACUCCGUGCCAGCAGCCGCGGUAAUACGGAGGAUCCGAGCGUUAUCCGGAUUUAUUGGGUUUAAAGGGAGCGUAGGCGGACGCUUAAGUCAGUUGUGAAAGUUUGCGGCUCAACCGUAAAAUUGCAGUUGAUACUGGCAGUCUUGAGUGCAGUAGAGGUGGGCGGAAUUCGUGGUGUAGCGGUGAAAUGCUUAGAUAUCACGAAGAACUCCGAUUGCGAAGGCAGCUCACUGGAGCGCAACUGACGCUGAAGCUCGAAAGCGCGGGUAUCGAACAGGAUUAGAUACCCUGGUAGUCCGCGCGGUAAACGAUGGAUGCCCGCUGUGGCGCGCCUGGCGUGCCGCGGCUAAGCGAAAGCAUUAAGCAUCCCACCUGGGGAGUACGCCGGCAACGGUGAAACUCAAAGGAAUUGACGGGGGCCCGCACAAGCGGAGGAACAUGUGGUUUAAUUCGAUGAUACGCGAGGAACCUUACCCGGGCUUGAACUGCAGGAGAACGAUUCAGAGAUGAUGAGGUCCUUCGGGACUCCUGUGGAGGUGCUGCAUGGUUGUCGUCAGCUCGUGCCGUGAGGUGUCGGCUUAAGUGCCAUAACGAGCGCAACCCCUCUCCUUAGUUGCCAUCAGGUUAAGCUGGGCACUCUGGGGACACUGCCACCGUAAGGUGUGAGGAAGGUGGGGAUGACGUCAAAUCAGCACGGCCCUUACGUCCGGGGCCACACACGUGUUACAAUGGCCGUCACAGAGGGGAGCCGGGCGACCGGCUCAUGAUCCUUAAAAACGGUCUCAGUUCGGACUGGGGUCUGCAACCCGACCCCACGAAGCUGGAUUCGCUAGUAAUCGCGCAUCAGCCAUGGCGCGGUGAAUACGUUCCCGGGCCUUGUACACACCGCCCGUCAAGCCAUGGGAGCCGGGGGUGCCUGAAGUUCGUGACCGCAAGGAGCGACCUAGGGCAAAACUGGUGACUGGGGCUAAGUCGUAACAAGGUAGCCGUACCGGAAGGUGCGGCUG
rnacentral:rRNA from 1 species